rnacentral:rRNA from 1 species
GUGCCAGCAGCCGCGGUAAUACCGGCAGCUCAAGUGAUGUCCCAUAUUAUUGGGCCUAAAGCGUCCGUAGCUGGCCGACCAAGUCCAUCGGGAAAUCCACCUGCUCAACAGGUGGGCGCCCGGUGGACACUGUGCGGCUUGGGACCGGAAGGCGCGACGGGUACGUCCGGGGUAGGAGUGAAAUCCUAUAAUCCCGCACGGACCACCGAUGGCGAAAGCACUUCGAGAAAACGGAUCCGACAGUGAGGGACGAAAGCCAGGGUCUCCAGCCGGAUUAGAUACCCCGGUAGUCC